AAGGUGGAUUUAUUAGUAAUUAUAUUUUAAUAAUAUAUGGUGGAAAGUGGAAUAGCAUGUGUACAUAUUGCCCGUCGCUCUCGUUAUUUCGAGAUAAGUCGUAACAUAGUUGAUGUACUGGAAAGUGUAUCUUUUUG
rnacentral:rRNA from 1 species